CUUAACAUUGUGAGAAGUGUCACCUAUACAAUCUCCAACGUAUUGGGGAGUUGUAAACCAGUAGCGUAACUCCCUCAAAUUGUCCGUAUUGUAUUUACAUAUAACCAGUAUAGGUACAACUUGACAAAGAUCAACAAAUCUGAAAAAAAAACUAAAGCUAAAGUUAUUCAAGUUGUUAUUACAAAAUCUCACAGAAGGUUACUUUAUUAUAUUA